GUCGCAGAGAGCUGCGUGGAUGAAGGCCGCUGCGGAGUAGAAGAAGACGCUGAGGUCAAAGGUGGGAAUAAUCCCCUGCUGCAGAGGAUGAAAGGAGGGUCAGAGAGGAAACCCACAGGAGCUGCAAGUGGAGCAACAGAGACUUAACCUGAGCAGCCUCGCCUACCAACCUAGGUGAACAGCUGGUGUCUGUGUGACAGCAGAGAAGCUUCCAGAGCCUGCGCGGCUGGAGAAGGAUGAACAGUGGGCGAGGCAGCACGGAGGACGGCUCAGCUCCCGAACAUCUUUGUAGGCUACGGCAGAAUUUGGGUUUCCAGCUACCCAGGAGGUGAAACAGGAGGAUCAUGGUUCAAGGCCAGCCUGGCUCCAUGGACAGACUGUCUCUCUGUC